CCUAGGGGUGGCAGCAGUGGGGAAUUUUGGACAAUGGGCGAAAGCCUGAUCCAGCCAUGCCGCGUGCAGGAUGAAGGCCUUCGGGUUGUAAACUGCUUUUGUACGGAACGAAAAGACUCUGGUUAAUACCUGGGGUCCAUGACGGUACCGUAAGAAUAAGCACCGGCUAACUACGUGCCAGCAGCCGCGGUAAUACGUAGGGUGCAAGCGUUCAUCGGAAUUACUGGGCGUAAAGCGUGCGCAGGCGGUUAUAUAAGACAGAUGUGAAAUCCCCGGGCUCAACCUGGGAACUGCAUUUGUGACUGGAUAGCUAGAGUACGGCAGAGGGGGAUGGAAUUCCGCGUGUAGCAGUGAAAUGCGUAGAUAUGCGGAGGAACACCGAUGGCGAAGGCAAUCCCCUGGGCCUGUACUGACGCUCAUGCACGAAAGCGUGGGGAGCAAACA
rnacentral:rRNA from 1 species